GCAAAUUACCCACUCCCGGCACGGGGAGGUAGUGACAAAAAUAACGAUACGGGACUCAUCCGAGGCCCCGUAAUCGGAAUGAGCACACUUUAAAUCCUUUAACAGUAUCCAUUGGAGGGCAAGUCUGGUGCCAGCAGCCGCGGUAAUUCCAGCUCCAAUAGCGUAUAUUAAAGUUGUUGCGGUUAAAAAGCUCGUAGUCGGACUUGUGUCACACGCUGCCGGUUCACCGCCCGUCGGUGUUUAACUGGCAUGCACGUGCUGACGUCCUGCCGGUGGCCCGAGCCGGUCCGGGAGCUCUGGGUGCGGGAUUCCCUUCGGGGGCUCGCCUCGAACCCGGUUCUUGGGGAGGGCCUACUCAUACCCCUCGCGGUGCUCUUAACCGAGUGUCUCGUUGGGCCGGCACGUUUACUUUGAACAAAUUAGAGUGCUUAAAGCAGGCAGCAUCCGCCUGAAUACUGAGUGCAUGGAAUAAUGGAAUAGGACCUCGGUUCUAUUUUGUUGGUUUUCGGAAUCCCCGAGGUAAUGAUCAAUAGGGACAGACGGGGGCAUUCGUAUUGCGACGUUAGAGGUGAAAUUCUUGGAUCGUCGCAAGACGGACCGAAGCGAAAGCAUUUGCCAAGAAUGUUUUCUCUGAUCAAGACGAAAGUUAGAGGUUCGAAGGCGAUCAGAUCCGCCCUAGUUCUAACCAUAAACGAUGCCAGCCAGCAAUCCGCCGAAGUUCCUCCGAUGACUCGGCGGGCGGCUUCCGGGAAACCAAAGCUUUUGGGUUCCGGGGGAAGUAUGGUUGCAAAGCUGAAACUUAAAGGAAUUGACGGAAGGGCACCACCAGGAGUGGAGCCUGCGGCUUAAUUUGACUCAACACGGGAAACCUCACCAGGCCCGGACACCGGGAGGAUUGACAGAUUGAGAGCUCUUUCUUGAUUCGGUGGGGGUGGUGCAUGGCCGUUCUUAGUUGGU
rnacentral:rRNA from 1 species